GAUGAACGCUGGCGGCGUGCCUAAUACAUGCAAGUCGAGCGAACGGACGAGAAGCUUGCUUUUCUGAUGUUAGCGGCGGACGGGUGAGUAACACGUGGAUAACCUACCUAUAAGACUUGGAUAACUUCGGGAAACCGGAGCUAAUACCGGAUAAUAUUUUGAACCGCAUGGCUCAAAAGUGAAAGACGGUCUUGCUGUAACUUAUAGAUGUAUCCGCGCUGCAUUAGCUACUUGGUAAGCUAACGGCUUACCAAGACAACGAUGCAUAGCCGACCUGAGAGAUUGAUCGGCCACACUGAAAGUGAGAGCCGGUACAGACUCCUUCGGGGGGGAGCAGUAGGGAAUCUUGCGCAAUGGGCGAGAGCCUGACGGAACAACGCCGCUUGUGUGACGAAGGUCUUCGUAUCGUAAUACUCUGUUAUUAGGGAAGAACAUGUUUGUACUUAACUGUGCACAUCUUGACGGUACCUAAUCAGAAAGCCACGGCUAACUACGUG
rnacentral:rRNA from 1 species